rnacentral:rRNA from 1 species
UCGGAGAAAAGAUCGGGUCAGGUUCAACCGAAGGUCCUAUUAGAAUCCAGCAAGGGUCAGGGGUUGGAGGGGACAAGGAGAGGACUGGAGGGUGCGGCUGGCGGCGUAUAGUGGUGAGGGAAUGCUAGGAGAAAGGGCCGCACGGAAUGGAGUGGUGAGGGAACGCUGGGAGACAGGGCCGCGCGGCGGGGAGUUGUGAGGGGACGCUUGGAGGUAGGUUCGCGCGUCAGGGAGUAGAGGUAAGAGGCCGCUGGGACGUAGGGCCGCUCGGUAGGUAGCAGUGGCGAGGGGACGCUGGUUGCCACUUAGGUUCCAUGCUGCACGGCGGGAAGAAGUGGUGAGGGGACAGUGGGACGUAGGGCCGCGCGACGGGCAGCAGUGGCGAGGGGACACUGGGACGUAGGGUAGCGCGCGGGGGAGCAGUGGCGAGGGGACGCUGCUGCCGCUUAGGUUCCACCGAAUAUGUCGCAGUUACUUAUACCACAGUCGUUCUCCAAAUACCGCGACAAACCGUCAUCCAAAAUAACAACAAGCACAAGGACGAGAAGCUAAGGUUGUUAGAAGAGCUAAUAACCUACUGUGUUCCUAACUCAGUUCGAACGUGAAGACUACACCCUACUACCAACACACACAUCGGGACGGGUUUGAGACCGGGGAGGUUUCAGUCCACGUCCUCAAGUCCAAGUAAGAAGUAGUCAAAAUUACGGUUCAUUAGUAUAAACCUACUGUGAAGGACUAGUUGCCCACUCAAUAAACCACGUAUGAUAAUUACCUAGUCGUGAACCUACCAACCUAACACUACACCUGUAUAAUAACUUAUCCAGGUUAUAUAUUAUUACCCUCAUUCGUAUUCUCGUAACGGAUGUCCAAAUAUAAGCCAGUCUUGUACGUAUAUGUGGUAAAUGCGGUUAACGAAAGAAGUACGUUAACACGUUGACAAUUGUAAAGGGACUACAACGUUAUAAUAUUCCCUUAAAUUGACUUAAAUUAGACGAACAGUCUAAAUACAGUUAUAAGAAAAAAUUUCUACCUCGAUGUAUUAACAAGCAACCACUAGCUGGAGUGGUUAGACCGCAAAACCACAAACUAGCUCCAUGGUUGUCUUAAACUAACACAUCAAAGUUGUCGGAAUGAAUCCUGAUAAGAGCAAAGUAGAAGGUAAACCUCCCUGAUACUAUCGUAAAUACUUCGAAAACAUUAAGGAAAUGCUCAAGAAAGGAAAGUUAGGUAGCUAUUGAAACUAAAAGAGAUUGUGCGUACUUGAUUUCAUAAGAACUUCUCGGACCUUUUUUUAUUGCCUCUUUAUAGAGAACGAUAUCAACAUUCAACACAAGAAUUUAAAUUUGAACUACCACAACUUGAAUGUUUACUUAAGACCCUUCACGUACAACUAUACCUUGAACACUUCUGUACUAUAAACCAUGCCUCAGCGUUUGACGUUAUGAGAGCCAUUACGUCUGUUUUGUUUCUAACGUACCGGAAGUUGGAAAAUAAGUUUUCUAUUUACCUACUAAUAUACCCACGUACCGUUCAUAUGAUGUUUCUACUACUACUACAAGGACUAGUACUACUGCUUCUACCUACGAAUGUCAAAAUCAAUUCAACAUCCCUACUACAAGAAGCCAAUACAAAAUCAAUUCAACAUACCUACACUACCUAUGAAAGUCAAAUUGAAAACUACAGUACUUUUAUUAACCUAAAACGUAGUGUAAACCUACUACAAGGAGGACAUUAUAGGUGAUAACAUUAGGUUGUAAAAAUAGAUUAUAUACUAAACAAGGAGG